GAUGAACGCUGGCGGCGUGCCUAAUACAUGCAAGUCGAGCGAAUGGAUUAAGAGCUUGCUCUUAUGAAGUUAGCGGCGGACGGGUGAGUAACACGUGGGUAACCUGCCCAUAAGACUGGGAUAACUCCGGGAAACCGGGGCUAAUACCGGAUAACAUUUUGAACCGCAUGGUUCGAAAUUGAGAGGCGGCUUCGGCUGUCACUUAUGGAUGGACCCGCGUCGCAUUAGCUAGUUGGUGAGGUAACGGCUCACCAAGGCAACGAUGCGUAGCCGACCUGAGAGGGUGAUCGGCCACACUGGGACUGAGACACGGCCCAGACUCCUACGGGGGGCAGCAGUAGGGAAUCUUCCGAAAUGGACGAAAGUCUGACGGAGCAACGCCGCGUGAGUGAUGAAGGCUUUCGGGUCGUAAAACUCUGUUGUUAGGGAAGAACAAGUGCUAGUUGAAUAAGCUGGCACCUUGACGGUACCUAACCAGAAAGCCACGGCUAACUACGUGCCAGCCGCCGCAGUAA
rnacentral:rRNA from 1 species